rnacentral:rRNA from 1 species
CCUACGGGAGGCAGCAGUGAGGAAUAUUGGUCAAUGGGCGGGAGCCUGAACCAGCCAAGUCGCGUGAGGGAAGACGGUCCUAUGGAUUGUAAACCUCUUUAGGCGGGGAGCAAUGCCGGGCACGUGUGCCCGGAGGGAGAGUACCCGCAGAAUAAGCAUCGGCUAACUCCGUGCCAGCAGCCGCGGUAAUACGGAGGAUGUGAGCGUUAUCCGGAUUUAUUGGGUUUAAAGGGUGCGUAGGCGGGAAGACAAGUUGAAUGUUUAAACUAUCGGCUCAACCGAUAAUCGCGUUCAAAACUGUUUUUCUUGAGUGAAGUAGAGGCAGGCGGAAUUCCUAGUGUAGCGGUGAAAUGCGUAGAUAUUAGGAGGAACACCAGUGGCGAAGGCGGCCUGCUGGGCUUUAACUGACGCUGAGGCUCGAAAGCGUGGGUAGCAAACAGGAUUAGAUACCCUAGUAGUC